UAGGGCUGCCAUAAUGAAAUAGUGAUUAGAAAAGGCUUUAUUGAAUAUCUGGAUUUGAUCUGAAUCUUCGGGAUUGGUUUUUGACUGGACAGAAAUGGAAGGACAAAGUAGUGAACAAGACAGGCAUGGCUUUUACCCGUGUGAAUUUUACUAUAUUAGUGGAGGAUACAGACAAUAGACAAGUGAACAAAUCAGAUAAAGAAAUGAAGACAAAAGGAUUUUGAAUGAAUGGAGUAAUGGCAAUGUCCAGUAAUUUUUUAUUAUUUCUGCU
rnacentral:lncRNA from 10 species